rnacentral:rRNA from 1 species
GUGGGGAAUAUUGGACAAUGGGCGCAAGCCUGAUCCAGCCAUGCCGCGUGAGUGAUGAAGGCCCUAGGGUUGUAAAGCUCUUUCACCGGUGAAGAUAAUGACGGUAACCGGAGAAGAAGCCCCGGCUAACUUCGUGCCAGCAGCCGCGGUAAUACGAAGGGGGCUAGCGUUGUUCGGAAUUACUGGGCGUAAAGCGCACGUAGGCGGACAUUUAAGUCAGGGGUGAAAUCCCGGGGCUCAACCCCGGAACUGCCUUUGAUACUGGGUGGCUGGAGUAUAGAAGAGGUAAGUGGAAUUCCGAGUGUAGAGGUGAAAUUCGUAGAUAUUCGGAGGAACACCAGUGGCGAAGGCGGCUUACUGGUCCAUUACUGACGCUGAGGUGCGAAAGCGUGGGGAGCAAACAGGAUUAGAUACCCGUGUAGUCC